rnacentral:snoRNA from 1 species
UUGUCAAGUGGGAUAAUCCUGACCUGUUCCUUCUUUUAUAGGGCAGAUUAGAACAUGAUGAUUGGAGUUCCUAUGAUGGGUAAUUAGUGUCUCUGUGUAGUCAGGAUUUGCAACACCCCGAUUGCUCCUACCUGAU